UAUAGUUAAUCUGCCCUAUGCUGGAGGACAACAGUUAGAAAUGACUGCUAAUACUCCAUACUCCUUCUUAACACAAGUUAAGUUGGGAAAGUUUUUUCGGCAUAGGAUGAGACUAUAUUGUAUCAGCUAGUUGGUGAGGUAAUGGCUCACCAAGGCUAUGACGCAUAACUGGUCUGAGAGGAUGAUCAGUCACACUGGAACUGAGACACGGUCCAGACUCCUACGGGAGGCAGCAGUAGGGAAUAUUGCUCAAUGGGCGAAAGCCUGAAGCAGCAACGCCGCGUGGAGGAUGACACUUUUCGGAGCGUAAACUCCUUUUCUUAGGGAAGAAAUUUGACGGUACCUAAGGAAUAAGCACCGGCUAACUCCGUGCCAGCAGCCGCGGUAAUACGGAGGGUGCAAGCGUUACUCGGAAUCACUGGGCGUAAAGGACGCGUAGGCGGAUUAUCAAGUCUUUUGUGAAAUCUAAUGGCUCAACCAUUAAACUGCUUGAGAAACUGAUAAUCUAGAGUGAGGGAGAGGCAGAUGGAAUUGGUGGUGUAGGGGUAAAAUCCGUAGAGAUCACCAGGAAUACCCAUUGCGAAGGCGAUCUGCUAGAACUCAACUGACGCUAAUGCGUGAAAGCGUGGGGAGCAAACAGGAUUAGAUACCCUGGUAGUCCACGCCCUAAACGAUGUAUACUAGUUGUUGCUGUGCUAGUCAUGGCAGUAAUGCACCUAACGGAUUAAGUAUACCGCCUGGGGAGUACGGUCGCAAGAUUAAAACUCAAAGGAAUAGACGGGGACCCGCACAAGCGGUGGAGCAUGUGGUUUAAUUCGAAGAUACGCGAAGAACCUUACCUGGGCUUGAUAUCCUAAGAACCUUGUAGAGAUACGAGGGUGCUAGCUUGCUAGAACUUAGUGACAGGUGCUGCACGGCUGUCGUCAGCUCGUGUCGUGAGAUGUUCGGUUAAGUCCGGCAACGAGCGCAACCCACGUAUUUAGUUGCUAACAGUUUGGCUGAGCACUCUAAAUAUACUGCCUUCGUAAGGAGGAGGAAGGUGUGGACGACGUCAAGUCAUCAUGGCCCUAUGCCC
rnacentral:rRNA from 1 species